UGCUGCCCCAACCCCAUUGUUUGGGAGGGGGCGCGGGGGGCAGCGGGCUCCGGCAGGGGCGCCUGCGGCCGUGGCCCCGGCUCGCUUCAGGAGGGGCGGCCCGCGGGAUGCAGCUUCCCUUCCUCUCGGCGUCGGUCCGUCCCACCUCGGCUCGGCCUGGCGCCCCGGACUCUGCUCGGCGCCCCCGGCCCGGGGCCCAGCCCUGCUCGCCCCCCGGGGCACCAGGCCCCUGGCCCCUCGGCCGGCAGUCCGCGGCCCAGGCCUGCGGAUGCCAGUGGUAAAACCAAGAGGAGGCAUCCCAGAGGCCGCUGGAGGCAUGGAACCGGGGAGAGGGUGAACAAUCUGGACCAGCGGAGAUUUAGGGUUCUGCACCUAAAUAUGGUGGUCAGUGACGUACUAAAAAAUAAACUUCUCGUAGGCGUGCAAAAAAGACACCUACAUUUACAGUCAGGAGGAUGAAAAGAAACAGAAAGAGGGUCGGUGAGAGUCUGCUUCCAGGGGAACUCAGCCUGUGAUGCCUCGCCUGAAGCAUUUCUCAGGAAGCUCCACCAAAAUGAGGGUAUAAAUGAAGGAAGAGGCCGGCAUUGGGUACAGAAACAGGAGGACCAUCGUAAAGGAGGAGCGAAGGGAAUCUCUAGGACAGUGGUAAAGGGAGAUCUAAUGAUGACAGCUAUGCCACAGAGAGGAUGCAACCAGUCCAGACGGAAGAAGUUCUGAAAGCUACAGAAGACGCUUCAAGAAGGUGAAACUGAUGGACUAAUUGAUAUAGUUGACCACAUUGAGAGGCGGUCGGGACAAACAGCAAAGAGUUUGGAGUUGAAUUAAUGGGGAGUAUUUAAAUAUUAAAAAUGAGAAACAGGGCAAAUAAUUCCUGGGAAAACAAAAAUUGUACAGGGAAGGACUUCAUAGGUUAUUAUACGGCUCAGUUGUGAAUAGGGUUGAAAAAGUUAUGAAAUUGUAAACCCCGAAUAUUGCUCUAACCGCAAUGAUAAGCAUUCUGAAGGGAGGAUGGGGAGCUUCUGUGCGCAGGGAGGAGCAAGGGAGGAAACGCAGAUCUUCAUUCUCCUCAGUGGGCAGUCAAUACAUGGCUCCCAAAACUGAAAAAUCGAACACUGUAUGUGGAGAAUCGGGAUAAAUACUGAGAGAGCCUGGUAAACGAGAUGCAAGUGAUUCCCUUUCGGGAAGAGACUGCUCUUUUUUGCAAUUUUGAUGACCUUUUUCACUAUUUAAACUAUAUGAAUGUGUAUCUUUGAUAAGAAUAAAAAGUAAAAAUACAUUGUUUAUGGAGGAAAAUAUACCUUGUCCUAAGAGGAUUUAUCGCAAAUAUGCAGGAUAGUUCAACGUCUAAAAAUCUAGCAAUGUUAUUUACCACAGUAACAGACUAAAGAACAAAAAUGACAUGAUCUAAAAAAAAAUCUUUUUAUUUGGAGAUAAUUUCAAACUUUCAAAAAGAUGCAAAAACAUAAAUAGUACAAAAAACACUCUUUACCCAGAUUCACCUAUUGUUAAUAUUGGUCUUAUUUGUUCUCCUUGUCUCUCUG
rnacentral:lncRNA from 1 species